CUUUCUACUUAUAAGUAGGUUUGACUGCUUAUAAGUCAAAUCAAACACUUUCUAAAUGCUCAUCUUCAAUAUCUUUUGAAGUCAUUGUAUUUUGAUCAGAAUCCAACAUGUUUAAAAUAAUUUGAUCAGAAUCCUAAUAUCUUUUAAAUAAGUUACAUGUAUUUUUAAUAAUUUCAUUGCUUCAUGCUCUUUAUAUGAAUUCUGAUGAUUGUGGGAACAGUCAAACAUCUCUGGCAAAAUCAUUUGCCUUUAAGUAAUUUGGGCCCUUUUACUUUCUUCUUUUAAUUAUUUUCAGAACUUUGAAAUGAAAAUGAGCAAGGUAAGUCUAGGCUGUUAGUGAAAAUGGAGUUUUGGGUGGCUUUCUAGCAAGUGUAAGAGUGGAAAUAACAAUAUAAUUUGAGACCAAAAAAAAAAAGAACAUGAAUAGAUAAAAAACAAUUUUGAAAAAGAAAAGGGGAAAAGGAAACACUAGUAAAUGUUUGAAAUCAUGUUAUGAAACCUCAUUGCGAUGCUUUACAAGGUGUUAGAAAAACUGAAAAAGAGAGAUUAACCACUCAUUAACUCCAAAAAAGAACUUCAAACGAUAAUUUCAUUCUGUGUUUGUUAACUACGAGAGGAAAAGAGAUAAUUUUUGCAUAGACUAAGAAAACCUUGUGGAUAUUUUUCCUCAGUUGAUUAAGAGAUGUUUUUGACCUUUUCUUUUGGUAUUUUCGUUGUGUUUUUGUGGUUUCUGCUUCAUACAUGCUUGUUUUAGGUCUUCACUGUCAGUUUUAGAGACAGUAUUGGGUAACCAUUAACUUUAUUAUCAAUCAUUAUCAAUUUUAUACAUGCAGUUAAUAAAUCCAUUAUUAACUUUAUCACCGGUGUUAGAAAUGGUACUGGAAAGCCAUGAACUUCAUUGUCAAUCAUGAAAUUGCAAUGAGCAGUUAAACUUUCUCAUUUUUCUGUGCAUGACAUGAAGUGCUAAUAAUUUAAACUUUGAACUUAUUCCAGUUGAGAAAGCCCAUAUUUGGA
rnacentral:misc_RNA from 1 species